UACGUAGGGAGCGAGCGUUGUCCGGAUUUACUGGGUGUAAAGGGUGCGCAGGCGGCUCUGCAAGUCAGGCGUGAAAGCUAGGGGCUCAACCCCCUAAACUGCGCUUGAAACUGUGGAGCUUGAGUGAAGUAGAGGCAGGUGGAAUUCCCGGUGUAGCGGUGAAAUGCUUAGAUAUCAUGAAGAACUCCGAUCGCGAAGGCAAGUGUCCGGGGGUGCAACUGACGCUGAGGCUCGAAGCGGUGGAGUAAACAGGA
rnacentral:rRNA from 1 species